AGUACCACUCUGAUCUCUUAGAGGAGAGGUGGAAGGUUAGUGAAUAGUUGUUUGUUGACUUUCUGAGGAAACUGAAGAGAAGGAAGAUCCAUAUCUUUGACACGAAGAAAGAAGGGAAAGGAAGGAAAGAGGAAGGAAGGACAAAGGAGGAAAGGAAGAAGAAAGAAAAAAAGAAAGAACUUUCAGAUGGGGUAGCCACCACUGUAUAAAGCAGAAGGUGAACUUCUACCACACAGAGGCAGAAAUCUAGGAUUUAUAAAGCAUCCACAAGGAAUCUCAAUAAUGUGAAUAAAAAUCGGUCAUGAUUCUAGAACAGGAAAGAAGAGUUUGGACAGAAAACCACACAAGAAAACCAUGCUGGAAGAGGAGGCUAGACACAGAUGUUAUGGGAGGUCUUCAAGGCUAAGAAUGUGUUUAUUAGACAAAAGCUCCUGCUGUUUGCCAAGCUGAACAGUAAAAUCCAGAAGUGGGAAUUUGACAAAUGCACCAGACAGUAUUGUAUAAGUUUAACUAAAGAGAAAACUGUCUAUUGAAUGUAAAAAUAUAGUUAAAAACUGCUAGU
ensembl:processed_transcript uncharacterized LOC110309400